AAGCAAAUGAUUUGGCUGAAAGAAAGU
rnacentral:piRNA from 1 species